CUCCUGUGAUGACCUCCAUUCAGUGCCACGUGUCUGGGCCACUGACUUGCAAUGAUGGCAGUGAGGAUCUGAGGAG
ensembl:snoRNA small nucleolar RNA SNORD66